rnacentral:rRNA from 1 species
UACCAUGCAGUCGAACGGAAUCUUCGGAUUUAGUGGCGGACGGGUUGAAGUAACGCGUGAGAAUCUGCCUUCAGGACGGGGACAACAGUUGGAAACGACUGCUAAUACCCGAUAUGCAGCGAUGUGAAAGAUUUAUCGCCUGGAGAUGAGCUCGCGUCAGAUUAGCUAGUUGGUAGUGUAAUGGACUACCAAGGCGACGAUCUGUAGCUGGUCUGAGAGGAUGAGCAGCCACACUGGGACUGAGACACGGCCCAGACUCCUACGGGAGGCAGCAGUGGGGAAUUUUCCGCAAUGGGCGCAAGCCUGACGGAGCAAUACCGCGUGAGGGAGGAAGGCUCUUGGGUCGUAAACCUCUUUUCUUAGGGAAGAUAAUGACGGUACCUAAGGAAUCAGCAUCGGCUAACUCCGUGCCAGCAGCCGCGGUAAUACGGAGGAUGCAAGCGUUAUCCGGAAUGAUUGGGCGUAAAGCGUCCGUAGGUGGCUUUGUAAGUCUGUGGUUAAAGCGUGGAGCUUAACUCCAUAAGGGCCAUGGAAACUACAUAACUUGAGUGAAGUAGGGGUAGAGGGAAUUCCCAGUGUAGCGGUGAAAUGCGUAGAGAUUGGGAAGAACACCGGUGGCGAAAGCGCUCUACUGGACUUAUACUGACACUGAGGGACGAAAGCUAGGGGAGCGAAAGGGAUUAGAUACCCCUGUAGUCCUAGCCGUAAACGAUGGAUACUAGGUGUUGCCCGUAUCGACCCGGGCAGUGCCGUAGCUAACGCGUUAAGUAUCCCGCCUGG